rnacentral:rRNA from 1 species
AGCAGCCGCGGUAAUUCCAGCUCCAAUAGCGUAUAUUAAAGUUGUUGCAGUUAAAAAGCUCGUAGUUGAAUUUCGGGGUCAGCAGGUCGGUCGUGCCACUGGUAUGAACUGGUCUCGCUGAUCCCUCCCUCUUGACGAACUGUGAUGCCAUUAAUUUGGUGUCGCAGGGAAUCAGGACUGUUACUUUGAAAAAAUUAGAGUGUUUAAAGCAGGCUUAAGCUUGAAUACAUUAGCAUGGAAUAAUGAAAUAGGACGUUUGAUCCUAUUUUGUUGGUUUCUAGGAUUGACGUAAUGAUUAAUAGGGAUAGUUGGGGGCAUUAGUAUUCAAUUGUCAGAGGUGAAAUUCUUGGAUUUAUUGAAGACUAACUACUGCGAAAGCAUUUGCCAAGGAUGUUUUCAUUAAUCAAGAACGAAAGUUAGGGGAUCGAAGACGAUCAGAUACCGUCGUAGUCUUAACCAUAAACUAUGCCGACUAGGGAUCGGAUGAUGUUAAUUUUUUAAUGACUCAUUCGGCGCCUUACG